rnacentral:rRNA from 1 species
UGAGGAAUUUUCUGCAAUGGGCGAAAGCCUGACAGAGCAAUACCGCGUGAGGGAUGAAUGCCUAAGGGUUGUAAACCUCUUUUGUCAAGGAGGAAGAUCUGACGUUACUUGACGAAUAAGCAUCGGCUAACUCCGUGCCAGCAGCCGCGGUAAUACGGAGGAUGCAAGUGUUAUCCGGAAUCACUGGGCGUAAAGCGUCUGUAGGUGGUUAAAGAAGUCAAUUGUUAAAUCUUGAAGCUUAACUUCAAACACGCAAUCGAAACCAUUUAACUGGAGCAUGGUAGAGGUAAAGGGAAUUCUCAGUGGAGCGGUGAAAUGCGCAGAUAUUGGGAAGACCACCGAUGGCGAAGGCACUUUACUGGGCCAUUGCUGACACUGAGAGACGAAAGCUAGGGUAGCGAAUGGGAUUAGAUACCCCCGUAGUCC